UGGCGGCGUGCCUAACACAUGCAAGUCAACUUGACUGAAGGAGCAAUCUGACAGUAGAGUGGCGCAAGGGUGCGUAACGCGUAAGUAACUUGCCCCAAGGUAAGGAAUAACGUCGAGAAAUCGGCGCUAAUACCUCAUAAUGCAGCGGAUCCGCAUGGAUAUGUUGUUAAAGGUUUACCGCCUUGGGAUAGGCUUGCGUCUGAUUAGCUAGUUGGUGUGGUAACGGCACACCAAGGCUACGAUCAGUAACUGGUCUGAGAGGAUGAUCAGUCACACUGGAACUGAGACACGGUCCAGACUCCUACGGGAGGCAGCAGUGAGGAAUAUUGGGCAAUGCUCGAAAGAGUGACCCAGCAACGCCGCGUGGAGGAUGAAGGUAUUCUAUAUCGUAAACUCCUGUGAGAGCAGACGAAAGACAGAUUAUUAAUUUGGAUGACUGUAUGCUCAGAGGAAGCCCCGGCUAACUACGUG
rnacentral:rRNA from 1 species